rnacentral:rRNA from 1 species
GACGGAGGGUGCUAGCGUUGUUCGGAAUGACUGGGCGUAAAGGGCGCGUAGGCGGCCGCUUGCGUCGGAUGUGAAAGCCCGGGGCUCAACCCCGGAACGGCAUCCGAUACGGGGCGGCUCGAGACCGAGAGAGGUGAGUGGAAUACCCAGUGUAGAGGUGAAAUUCGUAGAUAUUGGGUGGAACACCGGUGGCGAAAGCGGCUCACUGGCUCGGUUCUGACGCUGGGGCGCGAAAGCGUGGGGAGCAAACAGG